UGGCUAUGCCCGAUCCAUUGGGACCAUCCCCGAGCUUCUACGACCUCCGGAAGGGGUCAAACCACCAAAUCUCAACCAAAAAGUACACGAUAUUUUUGAAUAACUUUUUGUCGGAACGUCGUAGAGACUUGGGCAUUUCACACAUGAUAAAGGAGAGACAGCCACGCACCCACACCGAAUUUCAGCCCGUUUCGAGCAAGC
rnacentral:misc_RNA from 1 species